CACCCAAUGUUUAUUAUCAAGGAAACUUAACUCAAAACCUUGCAAUUUACAAUCCCUACCAAUUAGAUUGGUAUAUAUAGCUAACCUAAACGCGUUAGACUAUAACUAGGACUCCUAUUAAUUAAUUACAUAAUAAUUAUCUAAACACUCUUCCUAACCUAACACGUAUAGGAACCUUAGAUAAUAUUCACUAAUUAAUUAAUAAUAUUGUUUAUUACUUGUCUUGCACUCCAAGCAAUACUCCUAGCCAUCCUUCACGCAUGUAAGCCACGGAUUAGACUAGGAAUUCCCAACAUUCACCCCCUGAAUUUCUGAGUCGUAUACGGGAGGUCUUCAACGCCAAGUAGAUCCCGCAUCUCCUUGAACUUGAUUUUCGCCAAUGCCUUCUUUGCCAACGGUUUUCGCAUUUGUGUUCCAACCAUGCACGCUUCACACACCUUAUUCUCGUGACGAAUCUUUGGAACUCCUAAAACCAUCCCAUUCAAUUGCUCCAAGGUCUUGAAACUAGCAUACCCGAGCCUCGCAUGCCAUAACCACGAAUCUUCACUGAUUUUCGCCAUAAGACAAACUGGAGUGCCCACUUUCAAUUUCACCUUGUACAAACGAUUUUUCGAACGAGCGACUCGCAUCAAUAAUUUUCCACCACUAUCAAACAUCGUUAGAAAAUUAUCUUUCAUUCGAAUUUCACAUCCAAAUUCGGUUGCUUGACCCAAACUCAUCACGUUACUUUGCAAAUCUGGGAUAUAAUAAAUGUCGGUUAAAAGUUUUUGUUCACCGUUUUUACCUUCAAAUAAAAUCGACCCUUUUCCUUUAAUCGUCACACGCGAACCGUCACCAAACUUCACGCUUCCAGUUAUUCGCUCGUUUAGUUCUACAAAAUAACUCCGGUUACCCGUCAUGUGGUUGCUUGCUCCGUUAUCAAGGUACCAAACAUCUUUUUCGCUAGAAUCGGCUUCAAAUUUCUUUGGCAAAACCUUUUCUUGGUUUAAAAAGAUAGUUUCUUGAUCGCUCUUCAUCAUAAAAAAUGUUCCAUCAACCCCAUUAUCUUGUUCCUCGGCUUGUGCCAUGUUCGCCUCAUUAUUUUUGAAUCGAUCCGGACAUCUUGAAACAAAGUGUCCAUAUUUGUUACACCGGUAACACUUUAUUCCCGAUAAAUCACGCUUUUAUCCUUUUGCUUUCCGUUGUCUCAGGUUUUAUUAUCUUCUUGUUGACCACGGUUUUGGGUGUUAUCCUGACCACGAUCACGCCCUCGCGACGAGUGAGAUCCUCGACCUCGACCUCGACCUCUACCAGAAUCACGUCCACAGCUAGAAGAAGAUUCAGAUUUAGAAAACAUUAACUUACCCGAAUUGUCAUAUGCGUUAUCUUCUUCUUUGAUCCUCUCUUCGUAAGCUUUUAGUCUUCCGACCACAUCUUCAUACCCGACCGUUUUCAAGUCCAAAACUUGUUCAAGCGAGGCCACAAUAUGUAUAAACCGCCUUGGCAAACUAGUGAAUAAUUUCUUGACCAUUUUUCGUUCUUCAAUCUUUUCUCCUAGUGUGGCCGCCUUAGAAGCAAUAGACGACAACUUUGAGGCGUACUCAUCAAUCGUUCCGGUAUCCCUCAUCUUCAAACCAUCGAAUUCGGUUAUUAAGGUUUGAAGUCUUGCUUCUUUCACACGUUCCGCACCGAGAUUUCUUGACUGAAUUGCUUCCCACAUCUCCUUUGCUAGCUUCAAAUUACCGAUCUGUAAAAUCUGUUCCUCCGGUAUCGACUGAAACAGAAGUGCCUUCGCCAUGUUAUUUUUCUUUGCAUCAUUGGAACCCGGAUCAAUCACAUCCCAAACUCCAUAAAUUCCAAAAAUAACCUCCAUACGCAUGCUCCAGAUCGUGUAAUUCGUUGAAGUUAACAUCGGACACUGAAACGAAACUGGAUUCGUUUCCUUUACCGGAGCAUUCGAACCUUCACCUACAACCAUCGUUCGUUUCUUUCGUCGGCUAUAGGUUUUAGUAGUCUCCGGUGAAUCAAUUUUAUUAAUACAACCCUUUUAACGCGGUUGUAAUCGGUUUGUUUUUCGAUUCGUGUCGAUAACGUCGUAGGACAAUCAACGGUUUCCCGUUUCCAACCUACUAUAAUCGACGAUUAAUCAAGACAAUCAACAGUUUUUCCAACUUGAUCAAAUCUGAAUCAAAAAAAAAACUUAGACCACGUUUUAACUUACGGUUUCGAUUGAAACGUAGUUUAAAAAAUAAUAUUGUUUUAUAUGGAAAAACCCAACACCAGCUCUAAAUUAAUUGUAAAUGAAUAAAGUAAUUUAAAAGAAUUACCUUUUUCAAUUAGUCAAUCUCUUUGAAGUUUGAACGUAGCUUUGACUAAAAAAACAAUAGAACGCAGCUUUUUCUCAAGAAUCACAUAUAUCGCUGAUUUCUUUUUCAAUUAUUCACAAAUAAAGCUAUGACCAAAGAGAAUAAUUGAAGAGAAUCACCAGUUCACCACUAUCGCUGAUUUCUUUCCAACGCUCUGCUAAUCUGAUUUCUUGCACUAGAUCAGACUAUGAUUCGUACACCAAUGGCUGGUUUUCCGAUCUCCGCUGGUUUAGUUUGGUCGUUAUAAAUCAACCACCCCCUUCGUUCACAGGUAUGGUUAUUCUUCACAGGUAUAAUCGUAGGCUCUGAUACCAAUUAAAGGAAUUGGUACCAGAUUAGUAGAUAAUCUAAAGUUAAGAAGAGUAAUUGGCUAACACCCAAUGUUUAUUAUCAAGGAAACUUAACUCAAAACCUUGCAAUUUACAAUCCCUACCAAUUAGAUUGGUAUAUAUAGCUAACCUAAACGCGUUAGACUAUAACUAGGACUCCUAUUAAUUAAUUACAUAAUAAUUAUCUAAACACUCUUCCUAACCUAACACGUAUAGGAACCUUAGAUAAUAUUCACUAAUUAAUUAAUAAUAUUGUUUAUUACUUGUCUUGCACUCCAAGCAAUACUCCUAGCCAUCCUUCACGCAUGUAAGCCACGGAUUAGACUAGGAAUUCCCAACAGGCUUUUACACUUGUAUUUUUUUAUUGGUGGACCCCCUUUUUCCGUGUAAAUCGUGCAUUAGCCAAAAAAUUAAAGGGCUAAAUGUUUUUUUUUCCAUUUCUAUUUUUCGUGAUUACUGUCAGAAGGAUGAUCAUUGCAAAUGGUGUUAGAAAAAGAUUUCGAUUCUAGGGGAAUUCCCACAUUGAGAGUUUGUACAUCAUCAAAUAUCUCCUUGGUUUCUCGAUAAACACUUGCUAACCGAGUAACCGGUUGUUUUUACGCAACUAUACAUUAUUGAGUUCGGUCUCACAUCUUUUAAUGGUAGAGUAAGCUUUAUUCGACAUGAAAAUGUGUCCUUGUAUCUUUCUUGACCUUGUGUAAUUGGUAAUACCGUUUGUAGGUAUCUUAAAAAAACAAUUAAGACAUACUAUAUCUUAAGCAAGAAGGGCCCUCUUUCCCUAUUCUUUUUUUAUACUAUAGCUAUGAAGGUGCUAAAUGUUAUGGUGCCCAAAGUGGUGGCGAUUGGAUCCUUCCAUGGCAUUAAACUCCCUAACGAAAGUCCAACCCUUUCUCAUCUUUUUAUGCAGAUGACGCAUUAGUUGUUGGGGUGUUUUCACAUGGCGAGCAGGUUAAGAGUUAACUUGAAGAAAAGUAAACUACAUGGGGUCAAGGUUGGUGAUGUGGUGGUGGAUUCUAUGGGCAAUCACCUUCAUUGACUUACAGGGGAAUUUCCACUUAUUCAUAUAGGUAUGAUGGUGGGGGCGAACAUGGAUAGGGUAGGUAAUUGGUAAGUCGUGAUUGACAACUUUAAUGCAAAGCGCAUCUCUUGAAAAACUAGAAUAUCCUUCUCAGGGAGAGUCACUUUGGAGAAACCGCUCUUGGGGCAAUCCCCGGCUAUUAUUUAUCCAUGUUUAAAUCCAGGGGCGGAUCUAUAGGGUGGCGAGGGAGUGCACGGGAUACCCCUCAACUUUCUUGACGAAGUGCAAAUUUAUGUUUAAUCUCCAUUUUAUAUAUCAAGAAUACCCCUGAGCAAACAUUAGGAUACCCCUUAGUGUAGCUAAAGAAAAGAUGAACUGAAAUUAUAUAUGGUCAACGGAAACAAAAAUUUCCGGUCGCCGGAAGUCUGCAACGUUGGACAUUGUUAAAGAAUGAAGAUAAUGAAUAAUAUUUUAUUAU
rnacentral:lncRNA from 1 species